rnacentral:rRNA from 1 species
AGAGUUUGAUCCUGGCUCCGGACGAACCGCUGGCGGCGUGCCUCAUACAAUGCAAGUAGAACGCUGAGGCCUUUUGCUUGCUAGAGUUGGAAGAGUUGCGCCCGGGUGAGUAACGCGUGGGUAACCUGCCUCCUCGCGGGGGAUGACUAUUGGAAACGAAUGCUAAUCCCGCAAUAACAGUGUUUAACACUUGUUAGAUGCUUGAAUAGAUGCAAUUGCAUCACUAGUAGAUGGACCUGCGUUGUAUUACUGGUUGGUGGGGUAACGGCCUACCAAGGCGACGAUACAUAGCCGACCUGAGAGGGUGGUCGGCCACACUGGGACUGGGACACGGCCCAGACUCUACGGGGGGCCGCAGUAGGGAAUCUUCGGCAAUGGGGGCAACCCUGACCGGGCAACGCCGCGUGAGUGAAGAGGGUUUUCGGAUCGUAAAGCUCUGUUGUAGGGGAGGAACGUGUGUGGGGGUGGAAAGUUCCACAGUGACGGUGACUUACCAGAAAGGGACGGCUAACUACGUGCCAGCAGCCGCGGUAAU